CAGCCGCCGCGGUAAUACGGGGGGGGCAAGUGUUAUUCGGAAUGACUGGGCGUAAAGGGCACGUAGGCGGUGAAAAGGGUGGAAAGUGAAAGUCGCCAAAACACUGGCGGGGUGCUUUCUUGACCAUUUCACUUGAGUGAGAUAGGGGAGAGUGGAAUUUCGUGUGGAGGGAUCAAAUCCUAAGAUAUACGAAGGAACGCCAACCGCGAAGGCAGCUCUCUGGGUCCCCACUGACGCUGGGGUGCGAAAGCAUGGGGAGCAAACAGGAUCAGAUACCCGAGUAGUCCCUGUCUCUUAUACA
rnacentral:rRNA from 1 species